GCCGCGACAUUCAAAACCUCAACUUGUCACGAAGUUUUGGGGCCAGUACAAUUCGAAACGUCUCUUUGUGGAAGCUUCUCUCCAGCAGUCGUUCCUCGAGAUCCGCUGGCCGAUGCUGGUUUUUGCUUUUUUGUGGAUCGAUCACUGGAUACUAAAGUAACUGUAGAAUUUGCUCCUAGAUUUUCUCCAUGAUUUUUCACUUCCAAUAACGUUAGCUGUGAAUCUGUCGAAAUUUCUCAUUUUGUGAGGUUGGGAUCGUGUCAUGUGGUGGUGUCUUUCAGGAUCAGACGGGUGAAUUGGAUGCAGUUUGCGUGUUGAGUAUGUUUUUUUAACUGAUACUGCCGCGAGGCAUGAGGAUUUUUGUAUGCUCUUACGAGACCAGCGUUGCCUUAGGGUUGGUGUGACAAGAAUUUAGGUUCGAUGUGGUUGCUGCUGGAAGAAGUUUCGAUUGAAUGUUGGUCUUGCCUGGCUCGAAGGAUGUGGAAGUCUUGCGGAUGGAAAACGCGAUUGUUUGUUUAAUCGCUUCAGAGGAAAACUAUCGAACGCCAUGCCGGAUUACGACAUCGAACCCACAGCCUUGGAAUCUAACAUUCAACAUCUUAUUGAGAAAAAGUACGGUAUACGGGCCGUUCCGUCAACGCGAACUGACCGCAUCGUAGAACAGAACGCCAUACAUCUAUGUUGCAGUGCACAUAAUGAAUCAUACUCGUAACGAAGCGUCGAGAUCCUUUUUCUGGCCGAUAAACUGCAGUUUGUAUAGAAUAGUCACGCCAGAUCGUUCACCACGAGCUGUUCACAAACACUACUGUUUCAGGUUCUGCUUACAGUGAGUGGCCAAGUUCUCGACGCAAGAAAGGUAUGAUUUGCCAACAGUUCAGUCCCAGCUGUAAGAAACCACUUCGACAAGUGUGCGUUCCUAGCUUGAAUGAUGACAGCGAGCUCUUGAAGGUCAAUGACAUUAGCUGCAGACCAGGCGAAGCAAAAUUUUGUAUAGUAAAUACAUAUUCUCCGCGGAAGAUGUGCUUUUUGUGUAGUCUUGUACACUUUGAAGUAUACAAUAGGACAUUAGCAUAAUAGAAUAUUGAAUUUAUGUAGAUAAUUUUGAUGUGAAAGUAGUGGUUGAAAUAAGAUUUUGAAUAGACUGUUUCAUGUAUUGCAACUGUGGAGGGAUUGUGUAAAAGUAAAAGUUGCAUGUUACAUAGUACAUAUCUAAAAGAUGAAUGAAUUUCUAUAAAGUCUAUUAAUUAUAUAUUUAA